rnacentral:misc_RNA from 1 species
AUCGCAACCUCACCUCGGCGAUGAUCGACAGCCGCGACUUCAUCAUGGCGAAGAAGCGUGCCGAGCAGGAAGUGCUCCUGCCGCCUGGACCGAAGAUCGCCGUCACCGGCGGGGUCGNNNNNNUCUGGGCCAAGCUCGACCAGGUUCACGAGAAGCACCCCGACAUGGUGCUGAUCCACGGCAAGUCGCCGAAGGGUGCCGAGAAGAUCGCUUCUCUCUGGGCCAGGAAUCGCAAUGUCCCACAGAUCGGCUUUGCACCNGACGAAGCACGGCCGGGCAGCACCCUUCAAACGCAAUGACGAGAUGCUGCAAAUCCUGCCG